rnacentral:tRNA from 1 species
UUUGUGUUAGUAAAUCCUUAACUUAUUGUUUAGAUUUUACUCAUAGUUAAUUAAAAAUAGUAUUAUAUUCAAUAAAA